GCAGAUUCUACUUGUAACAAGGAAAGAUACUUUAGGAGCCUGUGAUAUACAUAGAUAUUUGCAUUACAAAAGCUUGUAUUCCAAUUCUGGCUUUACCAGUUAAUAGCUAUGUAAACUCGGGUGGUUUUUGCUUAGGUAUUCUGAGGUUUAGUUUUCUCCUAUGUAAUUUAUCAGGUAAUAAUAAUAAGUUGAUAACGUAUAAAAAUGUUUACUAUAUAAAGUACCAGUCUUAUAGUCAUCUGAAGUUGUGUACAAAUGGUAAUUCUUUUGUUUUUGCCCUAUAUUAUCUCAUACUAUGCCUUCUGAACAGGAGAAGAUGGUAUUAGAAAAUUCCACUUAAUGGUGAGUAUAUAUGUGUUUGAAAUGAUGAUGACACAAUUUAUUAUUAUUUUCGUUUGCCUUUCUUGAAUUUCUUCUACUGGGAAAGCUGAAAGAGAAAUGUAAUAAAAAGGAGACAUGUGCUCACUAGGCAGAAUUUAUUUUUAGUCAACAAACAAAAAUUUAAAUUUUCAGGCUUCAACCUAUGUACUCAGAUUGAAAAAUACAUUUUAUUUUAUACCUCCAUAUCAGUUCAUGUUGAUAAGAAAAAAAACAGACUAACAUCAUCCAAAACAGGUGCAUUCAAAUACAGAUGUAGAAAUUUGAUUACCUGUCAUUAUCCAUGUACCUCUAUUUGCCUUUCCUGCUAUACUGUAGGGUCAUAUACACUACCUGUCAAUUAGGGUGCAGACAUGUCAUUUGUUCUUUGGAUUUGUUUGUCAAAAAUGGCACUGCCAUCCUUUUUUGGUUUGAAAGCUUGUUUCAGUCAGCCACUUUCCUGAGCUAAACUCUAGUCUUUAUUAUUCAGAGUAAUGUAACUAUAUUCCUGUUUAAAGUGGC
rnacentral:lncRNA from 1 species